rnacentral:rRNA from 1 species
GGGGAGCGAACAGGAUUAGAUACCCUGGUAGUCCACGCCGUAAACGGUGGGUACUAGGUGUGGGUUUCCUUCCUUGGGAUCCGUGCCGUAGCUAACGCAUUAAGUACCCCGCCUGGGGAGUACGGCCGCAAGGCUAAAACUCAAAGAAAUUGACGGGGGCCCGCACAAGCGGCGGAGCAUGUGGAUUAAUUCGAUGCAACGCGAAGAACCUUACCUGGGUUUGACAUGCACAGGACGCCGGCAGAGAUGUCGGUUCCCUUGUGGCCUGUGUGCAGGUGGUGCAUGGCUGUCGUCAGCUCGUGUCGUGAGAUGUUGGGUUAAGUCCCGCAACGAGCGCAACCCUUGUCUCAUGUUGCCAGCACGUUAUGGUGGGGACUCGUGAGAGACUGCCGGGGUCAACUCGGAGGAAGGUGGGGAUGACGUCAAGUCAUCAUGCCCCUUAUGUCCAGGGCUUCACACAUGCUACAAUGGCCGGUACAAAGGGCUGCGAUGCCGUGAGGUGGAGCGAAUCCUUUCAAAGCCGGUCUCAGUUCGGAUCGGGGUCUGCAACUCGACCCCGUGAAGUCGGAGUCGCUAGUAAUCGCAGAUCAGCAACGCUGCGGUGAAUACGUUCCCGGGCCUUGUACACACCGCCCGUCACGUCAUGAAAGUCGGUAACACCCGAAGCCGGUGGCCUAACCCCUUGUGGGAGGGAGCCGUCGAA